AGUGAACGCUGGCGGUAGGCCUAACACAUGCAAGUCGAACGGCAGCACAGUAAGAGCUUGCUCUUACGGGUGGCGAGUGGCGGACGGGUGAGGAAUACAUCGGAAUCUACUUUUUCGUGGGGGAUAACGUAGGGAAACUUACGCUAAUAACGCAUACGACCUACGGGUGAAAGCAGGGGAUCUUCGGACCUUGCGCGAUUGAAUGAGCCGAUGUCGGAUUAGCUAGUUGGCGGGGUAAAGGCCCACCAAGGCGACGAUCCGUAGCUGGUCUGAGAGGAUGAUCAGCCACACUGGAACUGAGACACGGUCCAGACUCCUACGGGAGGCAGCAGUGGGGAAUAUUGGAAAAUGGGCGCAAGCCUGAUCCAGCCAUACCGCGUGAGUGAAGAAGGCCUUCGGGUUGUAAAGCCCUUUUGUUGGGAAAGAAAAGCAGCAGGUUAAUACCCCGCUGUUCUGACGGUACCCAAAGAAUAAGCACCGGCUAACUUCGUG
rnacentral:rRNA from 1 species